AUUGAACGCUGGCGGAAUGCUUUACACAUGCAAGUCGAACGGCAGCACGGACUUCGGUCUGGUGGCGAGUGGCGAACGGGUGAGUAAUGUAUCGGAACGUGCCAGUCGUGGGGGAUAACGUAGUGAAAAUUACGCUAAUACCGCAUACGAUCUAUGGAUGAAAGCGGGGGAUCGCAAGACCUCGCGCGAUUGGAGCGGCCGAUAUCAGAUUAGGUAGGUGGUGGGGUAAAGGCCCACCAAGCCAACGAUCUGUAGCUGGUCUGAGAGGACGACCAGCCACACUGGAACUGAGACACGGUCCAGACUCCUACGGGCGGCAGCAGUGGGGAAUUUUGGACAAUGGGCGAAAGCCUGAUCCAGCCAUUCCGCGUGCAGGAUGAAGGCCCUCGGGUUGUAAACUGCUUUUGUACAGAACGAAAAGGUUUCUACUAAUACUAGGAGCUCAUGACGGUACUGUAAGAAUAAGCACCGGCUAACUACGUGCCAGCAGCCGCCGUAA
rnacentral:rRNA from 1 species